UCAUUAUCGUGGUGACUUUGAUGACUGAAAAUUCAUGGAGCGAGUUAUCCCGGCAAAAUUGUAACCGUUUCUAACCGACGCCGAUCAGCACCCCAACCGAGAAAUGCUCUCCUCCUCCGCCGCCCUAUUCGGCGGCAGCUCCAUCUUCUCCUUCACUCUCUCUCUUCAGUUCAAGACCCGCGCUUUCCUCACUCGCUUCUCAAUCCAAGCAAACCACUCAACCAAGUCGCAGGUCCACUACGACAGCCUUAGGGUUUUGGAAUGGGAUAAGCUCUGCGACUCCGUCGCCGCCUUCGCUCGUACUCCUUUAGGCCGCGAAGCCACUAAGGCUCAGCUAUGGUGUUUGAGCCAGACCUACGAAGAGAGCCUGAGGCUUCUGGAGGAAACCAACGCGGCGGUGGAAAUGCUCAAGCACGGCGCGUGCAAUUUGGACUUCGGCGGCGUCAAAGUUGUUCUGGUGCAAUCUGCUAUACAACGAGCUCGGAGGAGCUCACAUGUGGAAGGAAUGGAAGCAGUAGCUGUGAUGGAGCUGCUGCAAUACGCGGAGCACUUGCAGAGUAAUAUGAAAGGUGCAAUCAAGGAAGAUGCCGAGUGGUACAGGCGAUUUAUGCCUCUUUCGGAAGUGAUAAUGGAAUUUUUUGUGAACCGAUCACUGGCUAAGCUGAUACAGCAAGUUAUAUAUGAAGACGGCCGUGUUAAAGACUCUGCGAGUCCAAACCUGAAACGUCUGCGCAGUCAAGUUCGGACGCUUGAGAAAAAGAUAUAUCAGUUGAUGGAAAGCCUAGUCCGGAAUGACAAGAGUGAAACACCACUUAUGGAAGUCAGUACUGUUGAUGGAAGGUGGUGCAUAAAAUCCAGCGCUAAUGAAAUGACAACUUUUAAGGGUCUGCUGUUGCCCAGUGGUUCAGGCAAAGGAAGCAUUGUUGAGCCAUUAUCUGCUGUUCCUCUGAAUGAUGAGUUACAACGAACAAGAGCACUAGUAUCAGAGGCUGAGGCAGAGGUUCUCUCUAUGUUAACAGAAAAGAUGCAAAUGGAUCUUGAGAAUAUUGAACGGCUAUUGAAAAGUAUAAUCGAACUGGAUGUGGUAAAUGCCCGAGCAACUUAUGGCCUAGCAUAUGGAGGAACAAGUCCCAAUGUAUUUCUACCAGGAGGGUGUGGCUCUUCUGCUUCUGACGCCUACUUUUCAGAGAACAAACUUCUACAGGCAUCCUAUCCCAAGAGUGAAUGGGUGUUGUAUCUCCCAAAAGCUCAUCAUCCUUUAUUAUUGCAACAGCAUAGACAAAAUUUGAAGAAGGCUAGGAAGGAUUCCAAGGAUGUUACUCUGGCUCCACCGGUUCCAGUAGAUUUUUUUGUCUCACAGAAAACUCGAGUUUUGGUUAUCACUGGCCCUAAUACGGGGGGUAAAACAAUUGGCUUGAAGACUGUAGGAUUGGCAGCUAUGAUGGCAAAAUCAGGUCUUUAUGUUUUAUGUUCUGAGUCGGUACAAAUCCCUUGGUUUGAUUCAGUGUUUGCUGACAUUGGUGAUGAACAAUCUCUGUCUCAAUCUCUGUCCACCUUCUCGGGACACCUAAAACAUAUAAGUGACAUACAAUCGCAGUCAACAAGUUGUUCACUCGUGCUACUAGAUGAGGUUGGUGCAGGAACAAAUCCCCUUGAAGGAGCAGCACUGGGGAUGUCACUAUUGGAAUCUUUCGCUGAAACUGGUGCUUUGCUGACAAUUGCCACAACACAUCAUGGUGAACUGAAAACCCUAAAAUACAGCAAUGACGCCUUUGAAAAUGCAUGUAUGGAGUUUGAUGAAGUUAACUUAAAGCCAACUUACAGAAUUCUCUGGGGAGUACCAGGGCGUUCUAAUGCAAUCAAUAUAGCUGAAAGGUUAGGACUACCUGGCAAAGUAGUUGAUAACGCCAGAGAAUUAUACGGUGCAGCUAGUGCAGGGAUAGAUGAGGUUAUAGUUGAUAUGGAACGGUUAAAGCAGGAGUAUCAAGAGCUUUUAUAUGAAGCACAGAAUCAUCUGAUGAUCUCAAGAGACUUGCAUGAGAAAUUAUUGAUUGCCAGAAGGAAGAUUAUUGAACAUGGUAAUGAUCAAAGAUUUAGGAAAAUGCGAGAAAUAUCUGAGGCUGCUGCAAUGGCACGAUCUAUUCUUCACAAAAAAGCACGAAAGCAACGCGAAUCUGCAAUUCGAUCUCUGCAGCCUACUUUGGAGCGUAAAAGACAGCAUGCAUUAGCAAUGAAAACAACUGAUGUUGGUGACACAAAAAGGUGGGCAUCCUCUUCUGAAGAUGCUACAAAACCGGCAUCAGGUAAGUUUGAGCUUCCCAAAGUUGGCAAUAUGGUGUUUGUUUCUUCCCUUGGAAUGAAGGCCACAGUCUUGAGAGUGGAUCCGUCCAAGGAAGAAAUAUUGGUUCAAGCUGGUAACAUGAAGAUGAAACUGAAAGUAGGCGACAUCAAGACGUGACCUGCAGGAAUAGUUAAUACAUGUACAUGUCAUCGAUGAUGUAAAACUAAAAAUGAAAAGGAUUACUGCAUUCAUACACACAUAUAUGGGAAUCUUGUGAAGUGUAGCCGUAUGUUGGAAUACCAUCAUACUUGUGGUGCAGUUUGGCGAAAGGAAACUAACCAUGAGCAACUGCGGGAGACAGAAGAGGCUAAAACACUCAAAAGAGUCGGAAAAAUAUGUACAUAGCCUCAAGGCAGACACAGAAAAUUAGGAAAUUCGUUGUCGAUGUGAUGGCUUAGUGGUGAAUCUCAGCAAGAAGAUUGCGUGGUUAAAACCUACGUGUACUCAAUAAAUUUCUUCGGAAAAUGAGCCAAAAGUUAAUGUCAUGAAAAAAAAUCAGCAGAUGGAUGGGACAUGACACCGAAAGACCUGCAUUUUCAACAAUUUGUUAAUUUAGUUUGGAAAAUGGCAUUUGCCUUGUUUAUCGUAGCCUGUAGUUGACUUUGGUGCUUUGUAGCUCGUGUGAUUCAUUCAUUUCUGUUUACCUGCAACCCUUGUCGUUA